rnacentral:sRNA from 1 species
AGGAGCGAAUCGGGCCGCCGCCGCCAUGGAGCUGAGAGUCGGGAACAGGUACCGGCUGGGCCGGAAGAUCGGCAGCGGCUCCUUCGGAGACAUCUAUCUCGGUACGGACAUUGCUGCAGGAGAAGAGGUUGCCAUCAAGCUUGAAUGUGUCAAAACCAAACACCCUCAGCUCCACAUUGAGAGCAAAAUCUACAAGAUGAUGCAGGGAGGAGGUAGGUCCUUUACCAGUCACAGAGGAACACCAGGGUUCUGUUUGAUAAGGGAGAACAGCAACUCAGCAUCGCUGGUUAAAAUAAACCCAAAACUGGUUCUGGGCAAAAGGGAGGGAAGUGUUCCCCACACCCUGACGAAGCGGUCACAGCUUCCUUCAGAGAGUCUCGGGUCCAGAGACCCUCUCUCAACACAAAGAAACAUCUUAUGGGCCGGGCAUGGUGGCUCACGCCUGGAAUCCCAGCACUUUGGGAGGCCAAGACGGGUGGAUCAUUUGAGGUCAGCAGUUUGAGACUAGCCUGGCCAACGUAGUGAAAGCCCAUCUCUACUAAAAAUACAAAAAUUAGCCGAGUGUGGUGGCGUGCACCUGUAAUCCCAGCUGUUUGGGA